CCUACGGGCGGCAGCAGUGAGGAAUAUUGGUCAAUGGACGCGAGCCUGAACCAGCCAAGCAGCGUGAAGGAUGACUGCCCUACGGGUUGUAAACUUCUUUUAUAAAGGAAUAAAGUGAGGCACGUGUUACUUUUUGUAAGUACUUUAUGAAUAAGGAUCGGCUAACUCCGUGCCAGCAGCCGCGGUAAUACGGAGGAUCCGAGCGUUAUCCGGAUUUAUUGGGUUUAAAGGGAGCGUAGAUGGGUUGUUAAGUCAGUUGUGAAAGUUUGCGGCUCAACUGUAAAAUUGCAUUUGAUACUGGCAGUCGUGAGUACAGUUGAGGUAGGCGGAAUUCGUGGUGUAGCGGUGACAUGCUUAGAUAUCACGCAGAACUCCGAUUGCGAAGGCAGCUUACUAAACUGUCACUGACAUUGAUGCUCGAAAGUGUGGGUAUCAAACAGGAUUAGAUACCCCGGUAGUC
rnacentral:rRNA from 1 species